rnacentral:hammerhead_ribozyme from 1 species
AUCCAACUGACGAGUCCCAAAUAGGAUGAAACGUGCGUCCUGUAU